GCGCAUGUGUCAGUGUUGUGAGUCCACAGAAAGUUCCGGUUGACAAGCAGCUAUCUCUUCAUUUUACCGACCGCAGAAAGAAAGCUCUACCUUGAAAAAUGAGCGAUUAAUACAACCAGACUAGCUGAUCGAUUUAAGAACGACGUCAGGACGAGAUUAUUUUCUAAUGAUUUUAAAAGGCUUCCAGAGAUAACAUACUCAGACGUCUAUCAUUACUUGGCGGACAGUGCUGUAGAAACAGGGAGGAUGAAGGGGCUGCUCCUGCCCUCCUUGAUGGGCACACCCCUGGCUGCUGGUACUGGCUCAUUAAAGUCCUCAGUGGCCAGGCAGAGGAUGAUGCUG